GGAGGGUAUAGCUCAGUGGUAGAGCGCAUGCUUAGCAUGCAUGAGGUCCUGGGUUCAAUCCCCAGUACUUCCA
rnacentral:tRNA from 1 species